AUUGAACGCUGGCGGCAUGCCUUACACAUGCAAGUCGAACGGCAGCACGGACUCCGGUCUGGUGGCGAGUGGCGAACGGGUGAGUAAAGUAUCGGAACGUGCCUGGUAGUGGGGGAUAACGAGUCGAAAGAUUCGCUAAUACCGCAUACGACCUGAGGGUGAAAGCAGGGGAUCUUCGGACCUUGUGCUAUCAGAGCGGCUGAUAUCUGAUUAGCUAGUUGGUGGGGUAAAGGCCCACCAAGGCGACGACCAGUAGCUGGUCUGAGAGGACGACCAGCCACACUGGAACCGAGACACGGCCCAGACUCCUACGGGAGGCAGCAGUGGGGAAUUUUGGACAAUGGGGGCAACCCUGAUCCAGCAAUGCCGCGUGAGUGAAGGAGGCCCUCGGGUUGUAAAGCUCUUUUGUCAGGGAAGAAAAGGUUGUGGCUAAUAUCCACAGCUGAUGACGGUACCUGAAGAAUAAGCACCGGCUAACUACGUGCCAGC
rnacentral:rRNA from 1 species